AAACCAACAGGGAUUGCCUCAGUAGCGGCGAGUGAAGCGGCAAGAGCUCAGAUUUGAAAUCGUGCUUUGCGGCACGAGUUGUAGAUUGCAGGUUGGAGUCUGUGUGGAAGGCGGUGUCCAAGUCCCUUGGAACAGGGCGCCCAGGAGGGUGAGAGCCCCGUGGGAUGCCGGCGGAAGCAGUGAGGCCCUUCUGACGAGUCGAGUUGUUUGGGAAUGCAGCUCCAAGCGGGUGGUAAAUUCCAUCUAAGGCUAAAUACUGGCGAGAGACCGAUAGCGAACAAGUACUGUGAAGGAAAGAUGAAAAGCACUUUGAAAAGAGAGUGAAACAGCACGUGAAAUUGUUGAAAGGGAAGGGUAUUGCGCCCGACAUGGGGAUUGCGCACCGCUGCCUCUCGUGGGCGGCGCUCUGGGCUUUCCCUGGGCCAGCAUCGGUUCUUGCUGCAGGAGAAGGGGUUCUGGAACGUGGCUCUUCGGAGUGUUAUAGCCAGGGCCAGAUGCUGCGUGCGGGGACCGAGGACUGCGGCCGU
rnacentral:rRNA from 1 species